rnacentral:rRNA from 1 species
GAUGAACGCUGGCGGCGUGCCUAAUACAUGCAAGUCGAGCGAACAGACGAGGAGCUUGCUCCUCUGACGUUAGCGGCGGACGGGUGAGUAACACGUGGAUAACCUCCCUAUAAGACUGGGAUAACUUCGGGAAACCGGAGCUAAUACCGGAUAACAUGUUGAACCGCAUGGUUCAACAGUGAAAGACGGUUUUGCUGUCACUUAUAGAUGGAUCCGCGUCGCAUUAGCUAGUUGGUAAGGUAACGGCUUACCAAGGCAACGAUGCGUAGCCGACCUGAGAGGGGGAUAGGCCACACGGGAGCGGAAACACGGACAAGACUCCUAAGAGAGGCAGCAGUAGGGAAUCGUACGCAAUGGGCGAAAGCAUGACGGAGCAAGGCCGAGUGAGUGAAGAAGGUCUUCGGAUCGUAAAAAUCUGUUAUGAGGGAAGAACAAAUGUGUAAGUAACUAUGCACGUCUUGACGGUACCUAAUCAGAAAGCCACGGCUAACUACGUG